rnacentral:rRNA from 1 species
UACGUAGGGAGCAAGCGUUGUCCGGAAUCAUUGGGCAUAAAGCGCGCGUAGGCGGCCCUGUAAGUCCGUUGUGAAAGUCAAAGGCUCAACCUUUGAAAGCCGAUGGAUACUGCAGGGCUAGAGUUCGGAAGAGGCGAGUGGAAUUCCUGGUGUAGCGGUGGAAUGCGCAGAUAUCAGGAGGAACACCAAUAGCGAAGGCAGCUCGCUGGGACGAUACUGACGCUAAGGCGCGAAAGCGUGGGGAGCGAACAGG